rfam:Salmo salar isolate Sally breed double haploid chromosome ssa21, whole genome shotgun sequence.
GGGUGGCUACUUUGUAAGUCGCUCUGGAUAAGAGCGUCUGCUAAAUGACUUAAA